rnacentral:tRNA from 1 species
GUCACGAUAGCUCAAGUGGUAGAGCAUCGGCGUAACAAGCCGAAGAUCGUGGGUUCGAAUCCCGCUCGCGCCA